GGCUGCAGUAUACACUGGCAGUCCUCCUAAAAUGAUCUCUGUCUUUUUAAAUCAUCACUUCCCCUCAGAGGAGAUAGACCAGUGCAAUGGACCUCAUAACCACAUACAAUCUAGUUUUAUGGGGAAACUCCUUGUAUAAAAGAAUAUUGCAGCAUGACUGGGAAGCCUGUCCUUCAUUACUUCAAUUGAAGAAGAAGAAUGGAGUCCAUCCGGUGGCUCCUGGCAGCAGCUGGAGUAGAGUUUGAGGAAGAACUUUUUGAAACCCAUGAAGAGUUUGAGAAGUUAAUCCAAGGUGGAACCCUGAUGUACGAGCAAGUGCCCAUGGUGGAAAUCGAUGGAAUGACUUUGGUGCAGACCAGUGCCAUCUUAAGAUAUGUAGCUGCAAAAUAUGACUUGUAUGGAAGGAACCUGGAGGAACAAGCCUGGAUUGAUAUGUAUGUAGAGGGCUUAAGAGACCUGAGCGACAUGAUAAUGUACUUUCCACUCUCUCUGCCAGAAGAGAAGGAGAUGAACCUUGAAUACAUCCUCCACCGAGCUACAACAAGAUUCUUCCCCGUUUAUGAGAAGGACUUCAAGGUGAGAACCAGCCAAAUUCCUACAAUUAACAGCUUCCUCCAACCUGGAAGCCAGAGGAAGCCUCCUUUGGAGGAGCGAUCCAUUGGGACUGCAAAGGACAUAUUCAAAUUUGAAUGAGGACUGUUUCUUAAAAACAUGAGCAAUAUAGUAGCUGAGUAUUAACAGCUACAGAGGCUGGAGUUACUCAGUAAGUAUACUGAGUAACUUGACACUGCAUUCAUAAAAAGACACUCACUAAGUAUAUGGCCAGAGAAAUAUCCUGAAGUUAGUAAUAAAUGUUAGGAAUCUUAGUAUGUUAGCAAUGUUAGAAUGUUAGUAAUGGAAAUAUUAAAUGUGUAAGAGAAAAACUACUAGAAGCUUAUCAAUAAACUACAAGAACCAACUCUUGUUUGAAGUAAGACAGGCUACCAAGACAGAAUUCAGAAAAUCCAAGGAGCCCUCGGCCUUCUGUAUGAUCCUAGAAUAAACUUGUAUGUAGCAAGUGAAA
rnacentral:lncRNA from 1 species